UACGUAGGUGGCAAGCGUUGUCCGGAUUUACUGGGCGUAAAGGAUGCGUAGGCGGAUAUUUAAGUCAGAUGUGAAAACCCCGGGCUCAACUUGGGGACUGCAUUUGAAACUGGAUAUCUAGAGUGCGGGAGAGGAAAGUGGAAUUCCUAGUGUAGCGGUGAAAUGCGUAGAGAUUAGGAAGAACACAGUGGCGAAGGCGACUUUCUGGACCGUAACUGACGCUGAGGCAUGAAAGCGUGGGGAGCAAACAGG
rnacentral:rRNA from 1 species